UACGUAGGGGGCUAGCGUUGUCCGGAAUCAUUGGGCGUAAAGCGCGCGUAGGCGGCCCGGUAAGUCCGCUCUGAAAGUCCAGGGCUCAACCCUGGAAAGCGGGUGGAUACUGCCGGGCUAGAAUCCGGAAGAGGCGAGUGGAAUUCCUGGUGUAGCGGUGGAAUGCGCAGAUAUCAGGAGGAACACCAGUGGCGAAAGCGGCUUCCUGGACCAGCACCGACGUUCAGGCACGAAAGCGUGGGGAGCAAACAGG
rnacentral:rRNA from 1 species